rnacentral:rRNA from 1 species
UACGGGGGGUGCAAGCGUUACUCGGAAUUACUGGGCGUAAAGCGUGCGUAGGUGGUGAGUUAAGUCUGUCGUGAAAGCCCCGGGCUCAACCUGGGAAUGGCGAUGGAUACUGGCUCGCUAGAGUGCGGUAGAGGAGAGUGGAAUUCCCGGUGUAGCAGUGAAAUGCGUAGAGAUCGGGAGGAACAUCAGUUGCGAAGGCGGCUCUCUGGACCAGCACUGACACUGAGGCACGAAAGCGUGGGGAGCGAACGGG